CUUCAUAAAAUCCUCUUCCGCGCUUAACUCAACGAUGCAUGGUGUGCAGGUCAUACUGUGCGGGCCACAAAAUGGUUAUGAAGUACAACCCAACGUUACUUGAUCCUGAUGAAUGACUCAGCGAAAAUGGUUUACAAUCAGAUUAUGAGGAUCAAUCUGCUCGAUCCUGGAUGACAAUGGUGUACAAUCAGGUUAAAUCCACCUUUAAGCUGACCUUGGUAAGGAAUCCAGGAGCGUGGUUGUGCCUCAAGUGUUUGUCGGAUGGUUGGAACCUCUAGUCGGACUCAUCAAUACAGUUGCCUACAUGGAAAAUUGGCUGAUCUUGCUGUUUUAGGGUUACAUUGCAAAAUGAGCCACAGGCCAAGGUUCCUGGAGGCUGUCAGACCAUUUGCGUUUAAUUACUGUCCUUGAUGCCUCAACUGAGCGGGGUUUGGUCAUGAAAGUGCAAGGACAAUUACCACUGACCUGCAAUGUUCACUAUUUUAUUGUGCUGUCAAAAUUUACUUAAUUAAACUUCAAAUGUAGUGUGCACUAUAGCUUGGUCAAUAAAGAAUACUCAAAGCA